AUUAUGUAUGAUAGUCAUCUACUUAAAUAAUUUUUAAAAGACUAUCAUCACUGCUUGUCAUACAUAUGAUUUCUAUUUUUGAUGAAAAUUCUGAUCUUCUGAAAAAUGGAAAAUGAACCAUUGCAUAUCUUUCAUAUUUUUCAGUCGUACAUGUUAUGCUUGAUAUGCUCUUAUGAAAAUAAUGCCAAAUCUGAUAGAGAUAUGUCUAUUCUUGGAUAUCAUUCAUCAAGCAAUGCAUAUAGAAUAUUCAAUGAAAAGAUUUUAGUUGCAAACAUAUCAAGUCAUUUUAUUCUUUAUGAGACAAAUGAUUUAUUAUCAAGAUACUAAAAUUAAAUUAUGUAUGUAUAUGGUUAAUAUUUUACAUAUAACAAUCUGAAAACUUGUUAAUAAUUAUAACCAAAUUAAGUUUUUUCAGAAAUGCACUUAAUGAAGAAAAACUGAUGACUACUAAAAGACUAAAUCAAGAAAAGAUGAAAUAGAUCUUGAUUCUUGCAUGAUUAGAAGUAAAGAUCACCAUUAUCAUUUGCUUGCUUUAUGAGCUUUAUAUUCUAUCAAAUGAAUGUGUAGAAUGCACUCCUAGGUACUUAUUUUAUUAAAGAAGAUAUAAGUUAAAUAACCACCAUAGUUGAAAACACCCAUUACAAAUAUGAUAAAGCAAUAUAUAAUGUGAAACAAGCAUCAAAAGCAUGAUAUAAAAGCUUAAGCAACCUUUUUGAUAGAAAGAAAUAGUGAUAAAUCUUUGCAUCAAAAAGAAGAAUCUGUGAUAUCUUGCUUGCUCAUAGCACUCAUUGAUGGCAUCAUUUUU
rnacentral:lncRNA from 1 species